CCUACGGGAGGCAGCAGUAGGGAAUAUUGCUCAAUGGGGGAAACCCUGAAGCAGCAACGCCGCGUGGAGGAUGAAGGUUUUCGGAUUGUAAACUCCUUUUUUUAGAGAAGAUAAUGUCGGUAUCUAACGACUAAUCACCGGCUAACUCCGUGCCAGCAGCAGCGGUAAUACGGAGGGUGCAAGCGUUACUCGGAAUCACUGGGCGUAAAGAGCGCGUAGGCGGGUUAGCAAGUCAGAUGUGAAAUCUUAUGGCUUAACCAUAGAACUGCAUUUGAUACUGUUAUUCUAGAGUAUAGACGAGGUAGGUGGAAUGCUUGGUGUAGGGGUAAAAUCCGUAGAGAUCA
rnacentral:rRNA from 1 species